AUGCUUCGGAUGUGUCUCAGGGAUCCAAACCAUUUCCUUUCCCAAUGCUUGCUGGGCCUCACCCACCUCAGACACCAAAGCCCACUGGACUCAACUCGGGAAAUACCAAUAUGUACCUGAGCCGUACCAAGGGAUCCGAGAUAUCUCUCUCUUGUAUUAUCAGGCAGCAGCCUCAUCCACCUCAGGGGCCAAAGGAAAGCCGACUGUGCGCUACCCAGUUAUAUCAGCUCGGGAGCGCCAAUACUUGUGCUAAGCUGGCAGGAGCCGGAACAUCUACACUCUUCCUAUUGUGGAGAAGCUCCUGCUAUUAAAUACAUUUUAUUUGACUUCUGGUUCCGGUGCCUGCAUGAGGAGACGCUGACCUCCAUAGCUCUCCUGCACCUCUGAACACGGGCCGCACAGAGCCUCCAUUCCGCCGUGGAACGCGGCGGUUUUGCAGUUGGCCAAAGGGGAGAGUGUGGGGCACCACAUGGACAAGUAUUUGUCCGCAUCUAUGCCCCCCAAAGUGCAAAAAUCUAAGUCUGAACGCCGGCAGCCGGAUUCCAAGAUGGCCGCCGCGUCUUAAACUCAGGUGGGAGCACAUGCUGCUGGCACUAAUAAACACUCUCAGCACACCCCGCACCCCUCACAACUUACCCCAGCCACCCCUGCACCUGCUUCUGAUAACCCUGUCACAUACUCAGAUGUAGUGAAAGCAGUACAAGUGGCUAUGGGGCCGAUUAUGGAUACACAUUCAGCCAAACUGCAACAAGCCAUACGUGAUAUGAAGUCGCAAAUGAAGCAACUUUCUAAAACAGUGGUAAAUAAUGAUCAGCGUAUUGGAGAAACUUUCCAAGAGGUCACUGAGCUCAAAACACAAUAUGAUCAGUUACAGAUAUCCCACUACCAAGUACUUACAAAGGUCGACGCCCUUGAAAGGUCGCGACGAUGCAAUCUACGUGUAGUGGGAUUGCCUGAAUCGCUCAAAGGCCCUGAGCUGUUUACUUUUUUACAAUCUACCCUGCCUGAUUUACUGGAUAUUGGUGAAGAAUGUACGGGAUUGGUUAUAGAACGAGCUCACCGCUUGGGUCCCCCACGGUCGGGUCCAGAUAGCAGACCCCGUGUAGUCAUUUUCAAAACUCUCAGCUUUGUCCACAAGGAAGCAAUCUGGGCAGCGUCACGGCAGAACAGGGAUCUUAAGUGGUUGGGGUCCCGACUGUUUAUUUUUCAAGACUAUUCUUCUGAAGUGAUGAGAGGAAGGAAGGACUUUGCACCUCUUUGUACCAAGUUGGUGAAAGAUAAAAGGAAAUUUGCCUUGUUGUUUCCAGCACGUCUCCGUCUCUUUGAGGGCAAUGCUUUUAAAGAUUUCUCUACUGUAGGUGAUGCAGAGGGAUACCUGCGUGAAAUUGCUCAGACAGAUGGCAGCCCCUCUGUGGAUCCAGCUGAUCUUUAACGAGACCUGUAUGUCUGUGAUUCUUUGGCCUUAUCUAACCUUGAAGAUAUACCCGCAUUCAGUCUGACCGUGAUCUCUGUGUAUACAAACUUACAGCUUUGAACGGCAAUUUGUGGACACCUUGCGGUCUCCUUGCUAACAAUAUUUUUUCUUUUUUUUAAUCUUUUUUUCCUACUGUCCUCGCUAUUAUUGCCAGGUUGUCUUCUUUCACCGGCUUAGACCUCAUUCAUGACCUAAUUACUCUUCAUGUUUAGAGUUAUACAUAUUUGUACUGCUGCAAUUGCUCUUUAUUUCGUUUUUUCUGACUACUUUUUAGAUGUUACUCAUAUGUGUUACUAUUAUCAUAUUUGGCCAUAUACAGUAUUAUAUCAAUAAUGCUUUAAGAUAUAGGGGUUCACCUGUUUCAUAUGGCAAUGUUUGCUUAUGUGAUCCCUUUAUAUUUCAUUUAGUUGCUACUUUGCUUCUUGAUUUAUAUUGGCUCUGUGCCCUGCCCUCAUAUAUACUCAUUGAUGAAUAAUUAUGUUUUUUCAAUGGAGGCUGGGACCACCUACCCUGUUUUGUUCCAUGUUCGAUACAACUUGCCCGCGUGUUAGUAUGACGCGGGAAGAUCUGAACCCGGAAGUUCAUCUCGCCUGUGUGCGUAACAUAGGAGUGUACUUCCUUACCGGGGUAUAUUCUCUAUGUUUGUUUCCCCAGUUGUUCCUCCCCUCCCCCCUCUUCCCUUUCGCAACUCCAAUUUUGUUAUAUCUCUUCUUUUAUUAUCAUGUGGAAAUUUUCAAUAAGUGGUUUGAGAUUCUGCUUUGCUUGCUUACUCUUAUAUUAUCACCUGUAUGGCUAGUCUAACAUUAGGCUCUCUCAAUGUAGGGGGCUUCCAUUCCCCGGCUAAGAGGAAGAAGAUAUUGAUAUACCUGAACAGAACGUAAAUAGAUAUAGCAUACUUACAGGAAACCCACCUACUACCCCCUGAAAUGUUGAAGCUAAACACACUACACUGGAAAGUUCUUUUGUCUGCCCCGUUCACCUCUAAAGCUAGAGGUGUAGCUGUCAUAGUGAAGGCGUCAUUAGCAACCAUUGUACACUUCUCGUCAAUCGACCCUCAGGGUCGCUAUAUAAUAGCCAAUGUGUCAAUUGAUCAAUCUAGAUAUAUAUUAUGUAAUGUUUAUGCCCCGAAUGUAUAUUCUAGGGAUUUUUUUGUUAAAAUUGUGUCCAAAUUGUACGCAUAUGGUACUGUCCCUAUCCUCUUAGGGGGGGAUUUUAACAUAGUGUCAUCUCCACAGAUGGACAUUUCCUCCCCUAUACGCAACAGACGCCGGGUCCCGAAACUAGUCAUACCUUACAUUCUCCAGCAGCUUCAUCUGGUAGAUGUGUGGAGAGCUUCCCACCCCCUGGAGCGUGAUUUCACUUGUCUGUCUGCAGCUUAUGGUACUCUUUCCAGGAUAGAUUUUAUUUUUAUGUCUGAGCAUUUAUUUACACGUUUCCUGGAUUCUAAUAUCGAACCUAUCUGUGUGUCCUAUCAUGCUCUGUGUUGGAUUAAAAUUGCUUUGGUCACCGAUAAGGGCCCAUACAAACAAUGGUGUUUCCCCUCACACUUAUCUCACUCCUUAAAGUUUAGAGCUGCCUUGGAAACCAUCUGGGUAAAUUAUUAAUUUAACAAUGCUGAUAUUGCAUCUUCUUCCCCCACACUUUUUUGGCAAGCCUUUAAACCUGUGCUUAGAGGAGAGAUUAUUUCUUAUUGCGCACAUAAAGACAAAAUGUUUCGUUCCUCUUACGUAGAAUUACAAACCAA